AGUUGAAGAACCGGUCCAUAUUCAGUGACGAGAUCCAGCCCACCAAGGGGGUGAGCAACCUCCCAUCCUGCCUCAGCCCUCCCUCCUUCUCCCUGACACAUCUCUAGCCUAUUCUCUAUUUUUCCACAGAGAUCCCUUCCAGGUGGGCCGGACCUGGACAAAGUCAAGGAGGGCCCAGAAGGUUCUGAGACGUCACUUCAGCUCCUCUGUAGAGGACGACUGCUUGGCCCUGCAGGAAUAUCGGGCCAUGAGCCUUCCAUCUGCUCAUUAUUUAUACAUGCAUGCAUGCUUAGUCACUUGCCUUUCCACAUUUACUUUAAAGCAAACACUGAGUUGGUGAGUAAUUAGAGAAACACACAUGUGACAGGGAUACCCAUGAUGGUUCUGUAUCUACCAAACUGAAUGUGUAUUCUUCACAAUAAAGCAAUCCCGUUGA